rnacentral:misc_RNA from 1 species
AACGCACAUUGCGCCCUCUGGUAUUCCGGGGGGCAUGCCUGUUCGAGCGUCAUUACAACCCUCAAGCUCAGCUUGGUAUUAGGCUUCACCCUUAGGGGCGGGCUUUAAAAUCAGUGGCGGUGCCAUUUGGCUUCAAGCGUAGUAAUUUUCUCGCUUUGGAGACUGGGUGUGUGUUUGCCAAUAACCCCAUAUUUUUUAAAAGGUUGACCUCGGAUCAGGUAGGGAUACCCGCUGAACUUAA